rnacentral:misc_RNA from 1 species
AUUAAAAGCAAGGUAUGGAGCGAAGGUGAUUGGCUCUGGAAUAGAUAGUGAUAGAAUUCCAGGAAUUGACAUAACUUUAAAAGAUGGAGACAAGUGGAUGUUUGCUGGCCAUGAAGUGCAUGUAAUGGAAACUCCUGGUCAUACUCGAGGUCAUAUUAGUUUCUACUUUCCGGGAUCCGCAGCAAUAUUUACUGGAGAUACUUUAUUCAGCUUAUCUUGUGGCAAGCUUUUUGAAGGAACUCCUGAACAGAUGCUAUCUUCCCUUAAAAAGAUCACUUCUUUGCCAGAUGAUACAAACAUAUUUUGCGGUCAUGAAUAUACUCUGAGUAACUCUAAGUUUGCGAUGACAAUUGAACCUAAGAAUGAGGCUCUCAAAUCUUAUGCAACCCAGGUUGCCAAUCUAAGAAGCAAGGGCUUGCCAACGAUUCCAACAACAUUAAAGAUGGAGAAAUUAUGCAAUCCAUUCCUCCGUACUUCAAGUACCGAGAUUCGACAGUCGUUAAAAGUUCAAAAUACA